GAUGAACGCCGGCGGUGUGCCUAAUACAUGCAAGUCGUACGCACUGGCCCAACUGAUUGAUGGUGCUUGCACCUGAUUGACGAUGGAUCACCAGUGAGUGGCGGACGGGUGAGUAACACGUAGGUAACCUGCCCCGGAGCGGGGGAUAACAUUUGGAAACAGAUGCUAAUACCGCAUAACAACAAAAGCCACAUGGCUUUUGUUUGAAAGAUGGCUUUGGCUAUCACUCUGGGAUGGACCUGCGGUGCAUUAGCUAGUUGGUAAGGUAACGGCUUACCAAGGCGACGAUGCAUAGCCGAGUUGAGAGACUGAUCGGCCACAUUGGGACUGAGACACGGCCCAAACUCCUACGGGAGGCAGCAGUAGGGAAUAUUGCACAAUGGGGGAAACCCUGGAUGCAGCGACGCCGCGUGGAGGAAGAAGGUCUUCGGGAUUGGUAAAACUCCUGUUGUUGAGGAAGAUAAUGACGGUA
rnacentral:rRNA from 1 species